rnacentral:rRNA from 1 species
UCUGACACAGGUGCUGCAUGGCUGUCGUCAGCUCGUGUCGUGAGAUGUUGGGUUAAGUCCGUAACGAGCGCAACCCUUGUCCUUAGUUACCAGCACGUUAUGGUGGGCGACUCUAAGGAGGACUGCCGGUGACAAACCGGAAGGAGGGUGGGGGAUGACGUCAAGUCAUCAUGGCCCUUACGGCCUGGGCUACACACGUGCUACAAUGGUCGGUACAAAGGGUUGCCAAGCCGCGAGGUGGAGCUAAUCCCAUAAAACCGAUCGUAGUCCGGAUCGCAGUCUGCAACUCGACUGCGUGAAGUCGGAAUCGCUAGUAAUCGUGAAUCAGAAUGUCACGGUGAAUACGUUCCCGGGCCUU